GUGUCCAUAUUCUUAUCCAACCAGUCUGAUGCAGGUUUUUCAGAGACUCCCUCACCCAACUCCAGGGGAAUGCUGGUGUGAUUCCUUAACCAUGAACAAUUCCUUCUUAUUCAUGUCUAAUUUGAGCUUCCACUAAGGCUCUAUUGACCUAGACAGCAAACUUAAAAACCUUGCAUUUAUUUUUACACUAUUUUCAUAGCGGAAUAUUGCUCAAUUCAGUUGCUUCUGACAGGUAUCAGUCGUGUAUUACUUUUAUUUUUGGUACUUCCUCAAUUUUUUUUAUUAAUUCUUAAACAUUCCUUCAGUUUCAAGGUGUUCUGGACUACAGUUGGUUUAUUAUUAGGGUGUGUGUGUGUGUGUGUGUGUGUGUGUGUGUGUGUGUGUGUGUGUGUGUGUGUGUGUGUGUGUGUGUGUGUGUGUGUGUGUGUGUGUGUGUGUGUGUGUGUGUUACAAUCAGUAAGAGUGUUUACCAGCUUUAUCUGUUUUGUGGAAAACACCAAUUCUUGGCCCAGUCGUGCCUUCCUGAAACUGUAGAAGGUGCUAUAACAUUUCAGAAUUUUUUAAUAGAUAUGUUUGAAACUUUUUGUGAUAUUUCUAUGUUUUCAUGAGUACACUGUCCUUUGUUGCAGUAUGCCAUUUUUGUGAGAGUAUGUCUGCAGUCUGCUUAAGGACAGUGUAAUCAGAUAUAUUCGUUUUAAGAUGCCUUGGAAUAUGUAGGCAAGUUGCCAUCUCUGCCUAAAUAUUGUGGUGACAAGUUUUUUAUGUUCAUUGUGUAUGUAAACUGAGAAGCAAAACAAGACAUUUUAAAGUGA